rnacentral:rRNA from 1 species
AUUGAACGCUGGCGGCAGGCCUAACACAUGCAAGUCGAACGAGUGGCGGACGGGUGAGUAAUGUCUGGGCAACUGCCUGAUGGAGGGGGCUAACUACUGGAAACGGUAGCUAAUACCGCAUACCAUCAGAUGUGCCCAGAUGGGAAUAGCUAGUGGGUGGGGUAAUGGCUCACCUAGGCGACGAACCCUAGCUGGGCGGAGAGGAUGACCAGCCACACUUGAACUGAUACACGGUCCAGACUCCUACGGGGGGCAGCAGUGGGGAAUAUUGAACAAGGGGCGCAAGCCUGAUACAGCCAUGCCGCGUAUGUGAAGAUGGCCUUCGGGUUGUAAAGCACGUUCAGCGAGGAGGCGUUACUCGCAGAAGAAGCACCGGCUAACUCCGAGCCAGCAGCCGCGGUAAUUC